AACAUGUCCUCUUGUGUUUUAUGUGAGGUCAUGCCUGCCCGGUGAAUUUAUUUUUAACGGCCGCGGUAUUUUGACCGUGCAAAGGUAGCAUAAUCAUUAGUCUUUUAAUAGGGGGCUGGAAUGAAAGGUUUGACGAAGUACUAUCUGUCUCAAUUUAAUAAUAUUGAACUUAGCUUUUGAGUCAAAAGGCUCAGAUUUUUUUGAAGGACGAGAAGACCCUAUAGAGCUUUAAGGUUUAUUUUUAUUGGUUAUUAUUAUUUAAUUUUUUAGGCCAUUAAUUUGACCUUUUUGUUGGGGUGACAAAAAUAUAUAACUAACUUUUAUUAUUUAUUUUACAUUAAUUUAUGAUUUUUAGAUCCAUUAUUAUUGAUUAUUAGACCAAGUUACCUUAGGGAUAACAGCGUAAUCUUCCUCCAGAGUUCAAAUUCACAGGAAGGCUUGCGACCUCGAUGUUGGAUUAAGAUAAUAAUUAGGUGUAGCAGCUUGAUUUAUGGGUCUGUUCGACCCUUGAUAUCUUACAUG
rnacentral:rRNA from 1 species